rnacentral:lncRNA from 1 species
AUGUUUCGAUAAAAAAUUUUGAAGAGUUUUUUAACCUCCACAGAACCGCCAAGCCAAAAUUGAAGACAUUAGAGCAGAACAAGAGAGAGAAGGUGAGAAGCUGAUCCGCCUCCACUUCCAGAUGGAACAGAUUGUCUACUGCCAGGACCAGGUAUACAGGGGUGCAUUGCAGAAGGUCAGAGAGAAGGAGCUGGAAGAAGAAAAGAAGAAGAAAUCCUGGGAUUUUGGGGCUUUCCAGUCCAGCUCGG